CUUAAACCAAAUUGACCUGCACGUAUCACCGUUUCUUUUCCAAUCAUAUUAAAAACUUCAUUCAUGGCUCUGACAAUGUCGCUUGUAAUUAGCGACUCCGCCUCUUCCUCAGUUGACAUCCAGCUCCAUAGUACAGUCUGCAGGUUGAAAAGCAGCGAGGGGACGAUCUUGUCCAUGUGCUGAGGGUCCCAGAUGUUGGCCUGCAGCUCAUCGUUCACGGUCUUCCUCACCACACCCUGCAGACCCUUGAUCCCCGCCAUACGGAUCCUGGAGGCAACGAACACAGACGCAGAAGAUAUAAAGGAAAUGUUCACAGAAAGCGGUAGUCUAAAAGAAAAAACCCUUCCUGUCGCCGUCUAAAAACAGCAGUUGCUUAAUAAUUCUGCAUCUGUUGCAACCAAGCAUCUGUCAACUCACUUGGUGCGGACGUC